rnacentral:rRNA from 1 species
GAAGGUGGCAAGCGUUGUUCGGAAUCACUGGGCUUAAAGCGUAUGUAGGCGGAAUGGGUAGCGUCAUGUGAAAUCCCUCGGCUUAACCGAGGAAUUGCGUGGCGAACUUCCAUUCUUGAGGCAGGCAGGGGUGUGUGGAACUCUUGGUGGAGCGGUGGAAUGCGUAGAUAUCAAGAGGAACGCCCGUGGAGAAAUCGGCACACUGGACCUGAUCUGACGCUGAGAUACGAAAGCGUGGGGGGAGCGAACGGGAUUAGAUACCCCGGUAGUCCACGCUGUAAACGAUGUCUACUAGGUUACGGGAGUCUGACGCUCUCGGAGCCGAAGCAAAAGUGAUAAGUAGACCGCCUGGGAGUACGGUCGCAAGGCUA